ensembl:lncRNA
GUUCCUGCAACCUGGAGCUUCCGUACUGAAAUGACAACCCUGUGGACCCCAAGGGAAAGAAGAAAGGAAGGGGUCACUGAGAGGGUCUGAUUCUGUAGGUUCAGGCUGCUGCCAGGAGAGAGGAAUGUCUACAACACUCACUAUUCCUGGAAUCUGAGAUAAACACAGGCUCAAGGCUAGGCCCAUGAUGGGCUACAUCCCUGACCCUCACAGUUUGAAAGAUUCUAAAUUUUAUUACUGGACAAACACCCUAAUGUAGACAUGAACAAGUCUCCAGAUUAAAAAUGUUGAACUCCAUGUAGGACGGCUCCAUGACCACAAUGAGUAUAAACUGCAGUCUUGCCAUUGUGUGGAUCCUUACGGACUCAGCUUCGUUCUCCUCCAGUGUCUUCUUCUAGAGUUGUACCUGUUUUGUUUUGUUUUAUUACCAAUUUUCAUCGGAAUCCAUUGAGGAAAAGGACAAUUUCGCUUUUGUUUCUUGGCCAGGAAUUGCUUGAUUCUGAAAGUCUUGUAAGACAACAUGGCGAGAAUUCGACUCAGGCGUAG